ensembl:snRNA U1 U1 spliceosomal RNA
CUCAGUCAUUGCACUGCGACUGUGCUGACCACUGCGAAUUCCCCAAAUGUGGGAAUCUCGACUGCAUAAUUUGUGGUAGUGGGGGACUGCGUUCGCGCUCUCCCCUG